rnacentral:ncRNA from 1 species
AACAAAUUUUGUGUGCAGAUCCUAUUUGGAAGUAAAACACUUAAAGUACUGCGAGAUUUUGCUAUUAUGUGUUCUUUUAAUUAAAAUGAUUCUUUUUAAGGUCUUUCUCUUGCUUCUGCAUUUGAAGAUCUUGUUACUUUGAGUAAAUUAGAGUGUUCAAAGCAAACAGAUAUAGCAUUGCGCGUUUGAAUACUACAGCAUGGAAUAACAAAAUUGAACAAGUCAGAAUUUUGUUCUUUUUUCUUAUUUUGGCUUAGUUACGAUUAAUAGGAGCAGCUUGGGGGCAUUUGUAUUCAGAUGUCAGAGGUGAAAUUCUUAGAUUUUCUGGAGACAAACAAGUGCGAAAGCAUUUGCCUAAAAUACUUCCAUUAAUCAAGAACGAAAGUUAAGGGAGUGAAGACGAUCAGAUACCGUCGUAAUCUUAACCAUAAACUAUGCCGACUAGGCUUUGGAUGAAAGAUUUAAAUAAGAGAUUUCUCUUCGGAGUUAAUCUCUUAGAUUGCUUCCUUCAGUGCCUUAUGAGAAAUCAAAGUCUUUGGGUUCUGGGGCGAGUAUUCGCGCAAGCGAGAAAGUUAAAAGAAUUGACGGAAGGGCACCACCAGGCGUGGAGCUUGCGGCUUAAUUUGACUCAACACGGGAAAACUCACUAGUUUAAGACAAGAGUAGGAUUGACAGAUUAAUAGCUCUUUCUUGAUUUCUUGGAUGGUGAUGCAUGGCCGUUUUUAGUUCGUGAAUAUGAUUUGUCUGGUUAAUUCCGAUAACGAACGAGAUCUUAACCUGCUAAUUAGCGGCAAAUACGAUAUAUUCUUAUGUGGGAUUGAAUACGGUUGAUUUGCUUAUUUUGAAGAAAAUAUUGGGAUGCGUAAGAGUGUCCCUUUCCCUAUUCUACUUAAUUUGCUCAUCAUACUGUUUCUCUUUUGCGUAAGAAUGUAUUUGAUUUAUUGUAAAUUUUCUCAUAGGAACAAUGUGUGUCUAACACAAGGAAGUUUAAGGCAAAAAAAACAGGUCCUGCGAUGCCCUUAGAUAAACUAAGCUGCACGCGUGCUACACUGAUAUGUAUAACGAGUUACUAAAAUUACGUUUCUGCUUGCAGAUGCGUACUUUUCCUCCACUGAAAAGUGUAGUUAACCUUUAUUAGUACAUAUCAUGAUGAGGAUAGAUUAUUGGAAUUAUCAAUCUUGAACGAGGACGUCUAGUUAGCGCGAUUCAUUAAAUUUCGCUGACUACGUCCCUGCCCUUUGUACACACCACCCGUUGCUCCUACCGAUUGGAAGAUAUGAUGAAAAGUUUGGAUAAGAGAAAAGGGGAUUAUACAUUAUUUUUGCUCUAAAAAAAUCGAAAAUCUUAUCUUUUAAAGGAAGGAGAAGUCCUUAUAAGGUUUCCAUAGGUUCACCUACGGAAGGUCUUUA